rnacentral:rRNA from 1 species
UCAAGAAACUUCCACAAUGGGCGAAAGCCUGAUGGAGCGACGCCGCGUGAUGGACGAAGUGCUUCGGCACGUAAACAUCUUUUAUGUGGGAUGAAAAUUAUUGACAGUACCACAUGAAUAAGGGGCUCCUAACUCUGUGCCAGCAGGAGCGGUAAUACAGAGGCCCCAAGCGUUAUCCGGAAUCACUGGGCGUAAAGGGUGUCGAGGCGGUUGUAUUAGUCGUUCGUAAAAUCUACGAGCUUAACUUGUAGGCGGCGAACGAAACGGUACGACUUGAGGUUUGGAGAGGUGCGUGGAACUCACGGUGUAGGGGUGAAAUCCGUUGAUAUCGUGGGGAACACCAAAGGCGAAGGCAGCGCACUGGCCAAAAUCUGACGCUCACACACGAAAGCUAGGGUAGCGAAGAGGAUUAGAUACCCACGUAGUCCCUGAGCGGGCUGGCAAGGCGCAU